AUCCCAUGAUGUGGACAUUUCUUGAUUAGAUCCUUGAACCUCUCCCAAGCCUCAUGGAGAGAUUCAUUGUCUAGCUAAUAGAAAAUAUUAAUUUCUCCUCGCAGCUU